UGUUCACCGUCCCUUUUAUUACUUAUUUUCAGUUUGGGCAACUCAGCCACAAAUUUGAUCCCCAGAACUAUUCCCACAUCAACUCCUUGCAGUCUUCUAGGGAGCACCAAGAAGCUAUAUUCAGCCUCUCACACCAAUGGUAAGGAGAAUUCCUGGAUCACUUCUAAAAUGUUACUGUUUGUAUUAGAGUAAUGUCCAGAACCAUUCAGACUGAAGAUGUUUCAUGAACUGUAACCAUACAAGCAUUUGACUGGAGCAUCUAACUAAAGGCUAAGGAAAGAGAAAGAAACCUUCAGUGCACCAUAAGUUAAUGCAACUCCAUCAGAUCUGAAAUGCACAGCAGGAAAUGCACUGGAGACUCAAGCGUGGAGGUAUAACUCACAGGAGCAGUUACAUACAGCGCAAAGAAACCAUACUAUUUCUGUGAAGAAGGCUUUUGAAGGAUUAUGUCUGUGGAAUAGAUGUAACGCAGACUGGCCUCAGAUAGCAUUAUGUUCCCCUCCAGGGGUAUGAAUCUGUUAAUGCCUUUAUUCUACUGUAAUUGAAUCUUUAAAACUGUAGGGGUGAGGGCUCAUACAUUUAGAUUCAGUGUCUGAUCCAGUUCUAGCAGCAAACUUCCCCAGGUUUGUUGACAGUGAGAUGAAGGUAUUUUGAGUACAUACUUGUCACAAUAGGGGAAAGAAAAACUAUCAAUUUAUGUCUUAAAUGGAAUAAAAGAGGAAAUGAAAACACAACUGUCUAUGUUACACUAAAAAAAAAAUGUGUUCCAAGUGUGGAACUAAGCACAGCUUUAAGGUUAUCAGCAUUACCCUGCCAAUUAAAUACUGCAAUGCCCAAUACUUUAGAGAACAAGUGUUUCGAAUGGCUAAAAGACAGCAUGGUAGUGAAGGAAUGUUGUGUGCCCAUGCCUCUGGGACACUACCAUGGUGUGGAUCAGCACCCAGGACAUGCAGAAAGCUGCUGCUGUUCAGCCUAGAGUCCAAGUACAAACCAAGCAGACACAGAGAAUAUUUUAAAGACUAGUUUACAUCAGUGUGAACAAGUAAUACUGAACACGGGGGAAAAACUAGCUACAUUUUCCCUAAACCUGCCUAGGUAUCUCACUUGAUGGACUCCAGAACCAAACCCCCUUCUUGUAGAACUCAAGUUAACUCAAUGCCUUCCUUGCAGCUAUAUUUAAACACAACAGCAGCAACAGCACAAGCAAGUUUAAGCCGUUGUUUUCAGACUCAAGAAACCGGUGCAAGUGUGAAUCAUAAUUGCUUACUUGCAGCUUGCCUUCCUUCAGGAGAAGAAGGAACUGCUAAUCAAUUUCAGACAAGUUUCACAAAGGGAAAGAGUACACAGAGCUUUUGCUAAUGCUUUAUCCCCAGCACAUCCCAGUCAGAAAUUCAAAAUUUCUUUAAGCUUUUGAGGCACAAAAGAAUCCACACACAAAACCCAUUACCUGUGACAUCCGAAAGAAAGAAAAUAGUGACUUUUAGAUACCAAAUGCUUCACCAAUAACCUCAAUAAUUUCUUCUUUGUUUAAUAGGGAACAAAUGUCA
ensembl:lncRNA